rnacentral:tRNA from 1 species
GCCAGCGUAGCUCAGUCGGUAGAGCAACGGUUUCGUAAACCGUAGGUCAGGGGUUCAAAUCCCCUCGCUGGCU